rnacentral:lncRNA from 1 species
AUUUUUUAUGAUAAAGUGGAGUGUAAUAAUAAAUAUUAAUAGUGGGCAAUCCAUAAAUUUUGAGAAAUUUCUGAUUUACAAUCUUGAGGUUUGAGACAAAAUUCAUCAUAACUUGAAGACUAUUUGUUUAUUCUGGAAAACAGAGCUUUUAAGAGUACUAUUUUAAUAUGGGUUAUAUUAAGAAAUUAAUCAGAUGGUUUGGUGAUAUUAAACACUUAUGGCAAAUAAUUUUUUUUUCUGCUUGUAUAUCCUUCUCUGUCCAAUCAUCCAGCCAGCUGGACAUUUUUCAUGAUUUUUUUACUUGGAUGAAUGAACUCAGCCACUUUGUCCAGCUUUUUCGUGCAUUUUUUUCUGAACACUUCAUGGCACUGUGAGCCCUACUACAAUACCAACUAAAAUAUAGUUGCUCCCAUUCCAUUGACGUCUGGUGAAUGUGCUCACAGAAAUAGUGAGUUUUUUAUGGUUUUUAAA